GCAAGUUGAACGGUAACGGCAAAAACAAUCCUUCGGGUGCGUUUUUGGACGACGAGUAGCGGACGGGUGAGUAAUACAUAGGAAUCUGCCCAGUAGCGGGGGACAACUCGGAGAAAUCCGAGCUAAUACCGCAUACGCCCUACGGGGGAAAGCAGGGGAUCUUCGGACCUUGCACUAUUGGAUGAGCCUAUGUCAGAUUAGCUUGUUGGUGGGGUAACGGCCUACCAAGGCGACGAUCUGUAGCUGGUCUGAGAGGAUGAUC
rnacentral:rRNA from 1 species